rnacentral:lncRNA from 1 species
GGAGUUCCCAGGCUGGUGGUCAAAUCGGAGCUGCACCUGCUGGCCUACACCACAGCCACAGCAAUGCGGGAUCCCCAACCCACUGAGCAAGGCCAGGGAUCGAACCCGUGUCCUCAUGGUUACCAGUUGGGUUGGUUACUGCUGAAUCGCAAUGGGAACAUUUAUGUGAUAAUGUCCAUCACUAACAUAUUCUGAUUUUCAAUGCAAAAAUCCAGUUCACUAGAAUAUAAAGAACAAAACAACCCCAAUACCUCUGCAAGAGAUCCAACUGGGCAUGCGAAUCCUGUAUCAUUCUCUGGCUCUUCUCUUCCAGAGAAGCCAUUUUCUGUGUGAGGUCCUCUUUCCCAGUUGGCUUGAUGAGAGGGUCCAGGUCGGCUACCAGGCCGUGGAGCUCCUCCAGAUUGCUGUGGAACUGAUCCUCAGUACUAAAAAACUCCAUGUGGCUUUUGAGACUUUCCUCUGCACUCUCCACGUCUAGGCCAUUGCCUGUCAGCUGUAACAUCUCGUGAGCGUCCUCAAGCCAGUCACUAGCUGCUUGAAAUACUUGAUAAAACCUUUGACACUGACUGUAUAUCUGAGUCAGGGAAGCCUGGAAACAAGCGUGGAAAAACACACUCAAUUCUCACUUGCAAUGUGUUUGCAGAAAAUAGUUUAAAUUCUCCAUCUCUUUUCCAGCGCAUAAAUGAGUUGAUACGCUGGGGAAAUUGUGGGGGACAAACCAUUAUUAGCUUUUAUUUUCCCUUCUGCUAUUCUCAGAUAGAAAAGUGUAAGAAUGGAAAGCUGAUCCCUGUUCAGUGAGGUCCAUUCAAAUCCAGAAAGGAAGGAAAUGCCCUACCUGGCCAGAAUUGACUGGACAGGACAAGCCGUUUUGGUCAAACAAAAUGCAGAGAUAAAUGCCACCAAAAACUAUAUCCAUUCACUUGUGAUGGAACAUGACAGAGGAUAACUUGAGAAAAAGAAUGUGUAUAUAUAUAUAGACAUAUAUAUAUGACUGGGUCACUUUGCUGUACAGCAGAAAUUGACAGACCACUGUAAAUCAACUCUAAUUUAAAAAUAUUUUUUCAAAAAGAAAAGAAAUGCCACCAAAACCACACCCCUCAGUUGUGGUUUGGGCCAAGACAGUCAAUAAGAUCACCAAUCACAAGAUGGCAGUAGAGCUACCUUAACAGAGUCAAGACUUUGAUUGAAAAUCACCAAAUCAACAGAAGCAAGCUUCAUGAUAGAUAUUUUUUAAGAAUGAAAAUCCAGAUAGCUUCUGUUCUGAUCCUCCACUCUAGGUUAAAUACUCUCUAUCUCUCCAGCU